CAAAACACAGUAUGUACUUUUCAGGCAAAAUGCAGUACUUUGCAGUACUUGCAGUACCUGUUAGACACCCUGUUUCAAGAUGUGACUCUCUGAGGACAAAGAUUUGAAUCGUUUUUUCAUUAGUCCUUGGGUAAAGAAGAUGCUGACGAAGAAACCACUUGAGAUGUCUGACUCAGAUGUAAAAGAAAGAUGGAUUUUUAGAGAAAGCAUGUUUCAAGGCCCUAAAUAGGUACAUGAAAUUUUGGCUGUUCAACUUGAUUUUUCAAUUUUUCAUGAAUUUUCAAAUUCUUUGAAAACAGGUCAAUUUUAAACAAAAAUAUUAUCAUGCAAUAUAAUAUUUUUUAUAAGUCGAAAUUUCGAAUCAGGUUAAAAAGUCAUGAGUUGAGAUAUUUGGUUGGAAUUCAACAAAACGACAAAUUUUCGUGUUGACGCUGAACACCUCAACAGCAGAUUAAAACUGAUUUCAUUUCACAACCCACGAACCCAAAUGAAUUUUUACAUCUUCAGCUGGAUUUCGAUAGUAGAGAAAAUCAAAUUCCAGCUACAACGAGAUGUAGGCAACAUGGUUUGAAGUUCUACAGGUAAUAAAGAAAUCCCUCAAUUUACAGAGAGGUGCUGUAAAUUGAAAAAGAGCUGGAAAAACCUGGAAUUUGGCUCAAAAAUCUGUCAUUUUGCAUUAAAAAUUCGACAUGAUUUGCGUAGUUUCAAAUUUGAAGAAGAACAAAAACACCUAGAAAUACAUUUAGUUAUACAUUUCACUAUGAGGAGCCUUAAAAAAUUCUCAAACCUUCAGAGUGGAUUUUAGAGUUUGGGAGUACCUGGGUAAAACAUCACUAAAUAAUCUGGAUCGAAAAUUUGUACUUAUCUAGAAUUUGAAGAAUCUGAAAAAAGUUUUAAACGUUGAAAGGACGAAGGACCUAUUUCUUUCAAAGGAUUUCCAAAUUGAAGAAUCUGACAAGUACUUUUUUUUCAAAUAAAUAGUACCUAUACCUAUGUAUGGACUAUGGAGCAUAUUUUUGGGCUGAAGUGGGAAGGAAAGAGUCCAAAAAAUUUCAAAAUCUUCAGAGCACAUCUUCGAGAGAAAAGACGAAAAGAAGUAAAACAUCAAAAAAAUGUGUAUUGAAAAUUCCUGUCUUCAAAAUUCGCAGAAUCAGAAAAGUACUUUCAAACCUUUCAAACAUUGUAAGCGUAUUUGUGAGGGGGUAGGCGGGGGGAAGGGAUUCAAAAAAUAUUCCCAAAUCUCUGGAGUGCAUCUUAGAAGUUGGGAAGGGAAAAUAUACUAAAAAAUCUAGAUUGAAAAUUUGUGCCUCUAAAAUUUAAAGAAACUGAAAACCAAAAAGUAGUUUCAAAUAUCGACAGUGUAUAUUUUUUGGGUAUGGGGGGUGGGGGGAGAGGAGAGAACCCAAAAAUAUUUCCAAAUUAGCCAACCGCAUCGUGGAGGAGGGAGGAGGAGUAGAACAUAUAAGAAAUUUGAGACUGAAAAUUUAUAUCGCUAAAAUUCAAAGAAUCUGAAAAGACGUAACGAGACCAAACUAGAGGAGGGGAGGGGAGCGGAGGCGAGAAAACAUGGCAAAUUUUGAUCAGUAUUCGUGCUUUUGAAAUUCGAAACAUUUGAAAUAUCUCGAGGCGCUAUAGAGCAGGAAUUCGGACCUACCCCCAUGCACCUUAAUUAAUUAACGUUCAGGCACCAAGAUUUUUGUAGAGGGGAUCCACAUAUCCAAAAAUUAGGGUCCUAGGUGUAACCGUUCGCGAAUGAGAAAAAAGUGUACCUGACUUCUGGGACACCCCUCGUAAAUCUAGAAUCACAAUAAAACAAUAUACGUAAUUACGUAUAUUACAAUAAUGACAGAGUAAACAAAAAAAAUUACGAAUUAUAUAAAUCAAAUACAUAUGUAAUUUAGCGCACAUUUUACACGUUCCUACCAUUGCCUUACAUAAAUUAAAUGUUCGCUUUAGCAGAUGUUAAAACAAAAUGAUCAUUAACACUCGCAUUGCGGUCAUCAUUUUUUUUGAAAAAUGGCUGCAAUAAAACGUAGAAAAACUAGUGUUCAAAUGAAAUAAAGGUGACUAGGUGAGCUUCACUGAAAACAUAAUCGUAGUAAAAAUCGUAGCCUACCGAGAUACGGUGAUCAUUCGUAGGCCAAUAGGCCAUUCUCUGCGAAACUCAAAUUUGCUUCGGUUUUCUUACCCGUGUUCGAAAUGGCGGUGAAAAUUAUCAGUUUAUUUUUCAUGUUUUCGUACUUUUUUGUUAGUGUAAUGACAGGAAAAUUAGAUCCAAUACCAGAAGACGAUUAUCCUGAACAAAUGAAAGGGGUAGAUGUUACAGCGAGCUGUGGAAAUCCUCAAGCUAUGGAAGAUACGUGCAAGAAAAUUGGUUAUGCGUGCGGAAUCACGGAUGGAACAACAGCCUCUGCACCAGGUUUUCCAAAAUGCCCUGAAUUAAAGAUUCAGUUACAAAAAAUGGGUAGCCAAGAAAUAGUCUGGGAAAAAUACAAAUUCAUCGAGUGUUCUUGGCCGCAAGGGUCCACUCCUUUUCACUUCGGCAAAGGUAUACAUAAAAAGAUGAUUAUGUUCCUGCGGUGUGACGCUGAGUGUUGUAUUCCUGACUGCGAGUAUUAUUGGGACUAAAGUAAUAUAUCACUUUAAUUGGGACCUUUGAAGGUAAUUUUAGUUUAUUCUAGAAAUUAUAGUUUUAAAUUAAUUCUUCACACAGUGUGUUAAGUAAUAUGUAAUAAUAAAAUUGUAUGAUUGCUGA